rnacentral:misc_RNA from 1 species
AAGUCGUAACAAGGUUUCCGUAGGUGAACCUGCGGAAGGAUCAUUAAUAAAUAAAUCUCAAUGGGCUUUUGCUCUUGCAGAAGUCCAUUAACCCCCACCUCUGUGAACUGUCUACUGUAAUUCCUCCUCAUCUGGAGAGUGUUCUGGUCGGAACAGGUGGCUUGCUGCCUGGUCCCCCGCGACAUUCUUUAACGUGGAGGGUAAAAUAUUUUUCACUCUGCACUGGCGCUGAAGCUUCUUGGCUUUCAGCAACAGGCGCUGAUUUUCGCGUCAUUUUCUUAAACUCUCUUUUUAACUGAAGAGAGAACAAUAAUCAAAUAACAACUUUCAACAACGGAUCUCUUGGCUCCCA